rnacentral:rRNA from 1 species
UGGGGAAUAUUGCACAAUGGGCGCAAGCCUGAUGCAGCAACGCCGCGUGAGGGAUGACGGCCUUCGGGUUGUAAACCUCUUUUAGUAGGGAAGAAGCGAAAGUGACGGUACCUGCAGAAAAAGCACCGGCUAACUACGUGCCAGCAGCCGCGGUAAUACGUAGGGUGCGAGCGUUGUCCGGAAUUAUUGGGCGUAAAGAGCUCGUAGGCGGUCUGUCGCGUCUGCUGUGAAAACCCGAGGCUCAACCUCGGGCCUGCAGUGGGUACGGGCAGACUAGAGUGUGGUAGGGGAGAAUGGAAUUCCUGGUGUAGCGGUGGAAUGCGCAGAUAUCAGGAGGAACACCGAUGGCGAAGGCAGUUCUCUGGGCCGUAACUGACGCUGAGGAGCGAAAGCGUGGGGAGCGAACAGGAUUAGAUACCCUGGUAGUCCACGCCGUAAACGUUGGGCGCUAGAUGUGGGGACCAUUCCACGGUUUCCGUGUCGCAGCUAACGCAUUAAGCGCCCCGCCUGGGGAGUACGGCCGCAAGGCUAAAACUCAAAUGAAUUGACGGGGUCAUAGCUG